AAAAAUAUGUGCUUUAAAAAAAAAAAAAAGAAACACAACUCUUUGCAUUAUUAUAGUACACAAAUUUAUGUGAAUAAUUCUUUUUAAAAAUAUAAAUAAGUUAGCCAUUCCUUUGAUGUUUCAAUGGUAUUCUGCCAUUAAAUCUGAUAAUACUGAAAUCACCUCACAACCUAGGGACUACAGUCAGGAAUACUUCAGUCGGGAAAGCACCUCCGCCUUCGAAAAGGCUUCAGCAACUCUCCCCCAGCAAGGCAAAGAAGUCUGCGGAGAUGGACGAGGCGGCAUAGAGGCUUCUGGCCAUGGGUAGGAGACCGUUCAGGUGAGAGAGCAGCAGAGCCACAAAACCAGCAUCCAGUGAACUUUAUUGAAGAGAAACAUCUGCUGAAUCACUGAGAAGGGGAUGACAUCACAGAGAGGAACUCCUGAUGACCAUGAGAGGCCAUAGGUCCUGUGGCCCCCUCCUCCUGGGGUUCCUGGCCAGGUGCCACCUCUGUCCCCCAUGCUGUGGCCCUCCUGCCACCUUCUCCCUUCCUUAGGGCCCCCAGAUUUUCCUCUGGCCAGGAUGGUGGACUCUGGCAAUGUCCACUCACUUGAGGGAUCCCCCUCCUGGGCUGACCCGUUGGGCCAGGUCCUGCCCUACGGCCUGCACAGGACAGUCACAGGACACUGGAGAACACGGCAGGAAACACGCCACUGAGCGGAGGAAACCAAGGCAUGAGUAACAACAUGUUGGACGUCAGAGCUCAGGGUCUCCGGGAGGAACUGUUCAGAUAAGAUCACAUUCAUCCCCACAAGAACAAGCGGCCGGUGGCCUGAAUCUACAGUGAGAAAGUAGAGGUGCAGCUGGCGACACGACGAGAGCCAGCAGAGCCUUGGCUCCUCGCCCGGAAGCUCACAGCACGUGCCCGGGCCCAGAGGUUGCUGACCAGGUAGGACAGGAUGCGCCCCGGGGUGGACACGGGCCUCACUGCUUUGCACAGAAACGAUGGCAGUGGGGGUUAGGGGGGAGUGGGAGCACUUGCUUGACAUGUGAAUCAUCCUGGGGCCAACACAGAUAAGGGUGGGCUUCCCAGAGAAGGGAUCAGCCUGCCCUGGUACCGGGAAUGGGGGGACCCCUCUUGGGAGACCCAGGCAGCUGGCACCCUUGAAAUGGCCUCUUUCCCCUAAUGUCUCCCAGUCCAGUGCAGGUGGCAGCCGUCUUCAGGUCCCUCAUCCAGGCUUGACCGGCCACUCAGGGGGGCCUCCAGCACAGCUGCCCGAGGUGGUGGGGUGUGGGGCAGGGCUCGUCAUCCACGGGUGCUCAGCUGUGGUCCACUGUGACAGUCCCAGGUUCCCCUUGCCUUCUCUCUCCUGCGGCUCUGCACAAACACAACAGAACGAGACAACACCCCCACUCCUCCUCCUCCUCCUGCUUUGGAACAAAUUCUUCCUGCACCCCCACUCUGGCCGAAGCCAGCUGUGGGGACACUGGCCCACCAGA